GCGAAUGCUUGACCGGCCAUGUUGCCGGACCAAGCUCAGCUCCUAAAACCUGUGGGUCGAGGUCUGGUGGUUUGGCGCCCCCCCCUCAGGGGGCGGGCGCCACUUUCAUGCCAAAAAAUGGAAUGUCGUCUGACGUUGAACUUUGAAUCA
rnacentral:misc_RNA from 1 species